UUUUUUUUUUUUUUUUUUUCCAGUGGGAAGAGUGUGUGAUUGGGCAGAAACUGUUAUAUCAGUGGAAGGAGACUCACAGAUGAACUGAUUUGAGUGGGGAUUUUUCUGACAGAAUGAUCAAGUGCCGGAAAGAGACUAUAUAAAAGGAUGGGAUGGGGCCAAGAUAUAAGGUAAUAGUGCCAGAGAAAACCUACUUAUUCUAGAAUUUUUUCUUGAAGUCAGUGUUUAACUCAUGCAGAGAACUCGGUAGUGGACUUUAUUUUUCAAGAGUGGAUAAUGAUAAAUGUUAAAAUUAGUGGCAAGGAGAUUUUCACAAAUGGUCAAGAGAUGGCAAUAGAGACAAAAUUGCAAGACAGAUCGAGUUAACUGAUGUCACUGUGGCCUCAAUAUGUGUAAAUAAUGUUGGUUAUAUUGAUAACAUUGGCUUCUAUUUUAAACUGAAAUUUCAAAUAGAAGGUGCUGAAAACACAGAUCUUGGUGAAGAUAGCUGUUUCUUCACAAGCUGUGUAAUCAAAUCACUAAGGAGGAAACUGAUAAACCUAAAUAGCCAUGAUAACAAGGAGAAAAAUUGCUCUUACCCAGUUGUGUGAGCCAUAAACCUAUGAACUUUUGAGAGAUAAAGCAGUUACACACUCCCUUCAGUCCUGCAUGUGGAAUAAUAUAUUCCUAGCAAAAGUGAGAGCACAAUAUGAAUUUGGCAACGUUUAGCUCUUAAAGCGAGUCUAGACUGAUAAAGCCUAACCCAGUUACCAGAGUCCACAGCCUCUACUGUCUUCAUCACUCACAGGGCACAAGACAGAUAUUUUCUUAUAAAACAUAGCUAAUAUGUUGUACAUUUACCAUUGCUACGAACCCUUUUUUCACUUCCCAUAACACCCAGAAGUGUAAUAUGUACUUAACAGCCCUCCAAAUUUUUUGAUUAAUUAAAGAAUUGUUCAUUAAAAUUUACAUUUUAAAGUGAAGUCCCCCAGGAGUUCCCAUUGUGGCUCAGCAGAAAUGAAUCUGACUAGCAUCCAUCAGGACACAGGUUCGAUUUCUGGCCUUGCUCAGUGGGUUAAAGGAUCUGGCAUUGCCAUGAGCUAUGGUGUAGGUCACAGAUGCGGCUUGGAUCUGGCAUUGCUGUGGCUGUGCUGUUGGCCGACAGCUAUAGCUCCUGAUUCAACCCCUAGACUGGGAAUCUCCAUAUGCUGUGAGUGUGGCCCUAAAAAUACAAAAAAAAAAAAAAAAAGAGAAAGAAUAAUUCUCCAAACGUAUUCUAAAUUCAAAAGCCUAAUAUUUUGUAUUAUCCAUUGGUAGAUUCAUAUUGCUAUUUGUCACUCACAACCAAAUAAUCCAAGUUUACAAUUUCAUUUUCCUAAGAUCUGUGUUGAAAAUAACACAAUUUACCAAAAUUAAUUCAGGCUACAAUUAUAUUCUAUUUUAAUUACUGGUUUGCUAUUGCACCACAAUCUAUAUGAAACAGAUGUCAGGACAUAAUGAUCUAACCUGCAUUAAGUAGUUUUUAUUUUUUACCCCCUCUUGAACAAUGACUUUUAUGGGAAACAAAGCUAAAUAGCUAUGAGACUGAUGCAAAAAUUUACACAAUGCACAGCUUUGCAGGAAUGUACUAAUUCGGGACAGAUGCUACAGAGAGAUUGGAAAUAAAAUCUUUUUUUUUUUCUAGAGCAGCACUGCUUGCUCUCAAUUGAGAUGAAGAAGAGAUUUUCUCUUUUUUUGGAGGGAGGGGGUCUUUUUUCCUUUUCUUAGGAUGCUCCCGCGGCAUAUGGAGUUUCCCAGCUCUCCUACAAGUAUAAGCAAAAUCAUUCUGUCUGAUCUACUGGAGAACUAAAACAUGUGCCACAUUGUGUUCAGUAACUGUUUUCCUAAAUGAAUGAUUAAAGGAAUGAGUUCAGGGAGUUCCCGUUAUGGCUCAGCGGGUUACUAAUUGGGCUAGUAUCCAUGAGGAUGUGGGUUCAAUCCCUGGCCUUGCUCAGUGGGUUAAAGAUACGGCUUUGAUGUGAGCUGUGGUGUAGGUCACAGAUGAGGUUUGGAUCUGGUGUUGCUGUGGCUGUGGUGUAGGCCAGCAGCUGCAGCUCCGAUUUAAGCCCUAGCCUGGGAACUUCCAUAUGCUCCAGGUACGGCCCUAAAAAGAAAAAAAGAAAAGGAAUGAGCUCAAAAUCAGUGGCUCAAUCCUAGGCCAUCUGCUCAGAGCACAGGUCAUAAGAAGGGCAACGCCGCUGUCCUUCUCCCUCAUCUCCUUCUAACACAUAUGGUAUUACCAAACUAAGGGAGCUCAAAUACACAGCAAUAAAAACACUUUUUGAGCUUCAUUCAGGUAAAAAUUUUCCUUUCUACAAAAUCUAAAAUGUAACAAAUAUUCGAUAAGGUAAGACUUUUUCAAUUUGUGGAGAACUAAAAUAAUAUCACAUAUUUCUUGUUAUCUCAUAGACACUGAAUUUUGAGAAUAUAAACCAUUUUAUUCAUAAAAAUCACCCAGGGUGGAGUUCCCAUUGUGGUGCAGUGGAAACGAAUCUGACUAGUAUCCACAAGGAUGAGGGGUCUAUCCCUGGCCUCGCUCAGUGGGUUAGGGAUCUGGCAUUGCUGUGAACUGUGGUGUAUGACAUAGACACAGCUCGGAUUCUGCAUUGCUUUGGCUGUGGUAGAGGCUGGCAGCUGUAUCUCCAGUUCAACCCUUAGCCUGGGAAUUUCCAUAUGCUGNAAAAAAAAAAAAAAAAAAAAAAAAAAAAAAAAAA
rnacentral:lncRNA from 1 species